rnacentral:rRNA from 1 species
UCCAGACUCCUACGGGAGGCAGCAGUGAGGAAUAUUGGUCAAUGGGCUUACGCCUGAACCAGCCAAGUCGCGUGAGGGAUGACGGCCCUACGGGUUGUAAACCUCUUUUGUCGGGGAGCAAAUUCCGUUACGUGUAACGGAGUCGAGAGUACCCGAAGAAAAAGCAUCGGCUAACUCCGUGCCAGCAGCCGCGGUAAUACGGAGGAUGCGAGCGUUAUCCGGAUUUAUUGGGUUUAAAGGGUGCGUAGGCGGUCGGAUAAGUUAGAGGUGAAAUCCCGAGGCUCAACUUCGGAAUUGCCUCUGAUACUGUUCGGCUAGAGAGUAGUUGCGGUAGGCGGAAUGUAUGGUGUAGCGGUGAAAUGCUUAGAGAUCAUACAGAACACCGAUUGCGAAGGCAGCUUACCAAGCUACUUCUGACGUUGAGGCACGAAAGCGUGGGGAGCAAACAGGAUUAGAUACCCGGGUAGAA